AUAUAUAUAUCUCAGUGGAAUUAAGAUACUGACAUACUACAUGAUUUGUAGCUACUGUCUUUUCUUGUCUUGCCUAUCUUGCUGAGCUGCCCCAAACUUUUUGCAGAGUGAAGGCUGCUUGCUUGAGGUGUCCUGUCCUGCCAGCAACACAAAUCCCUCAUCAUCCUGUCACCCUCCAUCAACUGGUACACUACUAAAGCAUGCCCAGUAAUUCACCCACCCUUGUGUGAUCAUCUACACCAACUUCACAUUGGCGGCUUUCUUUCAGUGUAUUCAGGGAGAGAUAAACAGAUAUAAAUAAAUAAUACAAGAAAGAUGGGAGAAAAAACAAGAGGAGAGAGAGAAGAGAUGAUGAGAAGAAAGGAAGAAACACUAGAUGAGACAAAGCAAGACAUGACACAUGAUGAGAGUAAGACAAGAAAAUAGACAGGUGACAAAACACGGGAGGAUGAGAAGAAAGGAAGAGGCAAGACAAGAGAGAGAGA